AGUUUGAUCCUGGCUCAGGAUGAACGCUGGCGGCGUGCCUAACACAUGCAAGUCGAGCGAUCUUCUUCGGAAGAGAGCGGCGGACGGGUGAGUAACGCGUGGGUAACCUGCCCUGUACACACGGAUAACAUACCGAAAGGUAUGCUAAUACGAGAUAAUAUGCUUUUGUCGCAUGGUAGAAGUAUCAAAGCUCCGGCGGUACAGGAUGGACCCGCGUCUGAUUAGCUAGUUGGUAAGGUAACGGCUUACCAAGGCGACGAUCAGUAGCCGACCUGAGAGGGUGAUCGGCCACAUUGGAACUGAGACACGGUCCAAACUCCUACGGGAGGCAGCAGUGGGGAAUAUUGCACAAUGGGCGAAAGCCUGAUGCAGCAACGCCGCGUGAGCGAUGAAGGCCUUCGGGUCGUAAAGCUCUGUCCUCAAGGAAGAUAAUGACGGUACUUGAGGAGGAAGCCCCGGCUAACUACGUGCCAGCAGCCGCGGUAAUACGUAGGGGGCUAGCGUUAUCCGGAAUUACUGGGCGUAAAGGGUGCGUAGGUGGUUUCUUAAGUCAGAGGUGAAAGGCUACGGCUCAACCGUAGUAAGCCUUUGAAACUGGGAAACUUGAGUGCAGGAGAGGAGAGUGGAAUUCCUAGUGUAGCGGUGAAAUGCGUAGAUAUUAGGAGGAACCCCAGUUGCGAAGGCGGCUCUCUGGACUGUAACUGACACUGAGGCACGAAAGCGUGGGGAGCAAACAGGAUUAGAUACCCUGGUAGUCCACGCCGUAAACGAUGAGUACUAGCUGUCGGAGGUUACCCCCUUCGGUGGCGCAGCUAACGCAUUAAGUACUCCGCCUGGGAAGUACGCUCGCAAGAGUGAAACUCAAAGGAAUUGACG
rnacentral:rRNA from 1 species